CGUAGGUGGCGAACGUUAUCCGGAAUAACUGGGCGUAAGGGUCCGUAGGCGGCUAAGCAGGUCUGGCGUGAAGCCCUCGGCUAAACUGAGGGAGUGCGUUGGAACCGCGUAGCUAGCAUCACGCAGGGGCUGGUGGAAUUCCCGGUGUAGUGGUGGAAUGCGUAGAGAUCGGGAGGAACCUCUAGAGCGAAGGCAACCGGCUAGGCGAUGAUGGACGCUGAGGGACGAAAGCGUGGGAGCGAACAGGAUU
rnacentral:rRNA from 1 species